CUACAAAGGAAUUGACGGGGCCCGCACAAGCGGUGGAGCAUGUGGUUAAUUCGACGCAACGCGAAGAACCUUACCUGGCCUUGACAUGUUGGGAACUUUCCAGAGAUGGGUUGGGUGCCUUCGGGAACCCAACACAGGUGCUGCAUGGCCGUCGUCAGCUCGUGUCGUGAGAUGUUGGGUUAAGUCCCGUAACGAGCGCAACCCUUAUCCCUAGUUGCCAGCACAUUAUGGUGGGAACUCUAGGGAGACUGCCGGUGACAAACCGGAGGAAGGUGGGAUGACGUCAGGUCAUCAUGGCCCUUACGGCCAGGGCUACACACGUGCUACAAUGGCGCGCACAGAGGGCUGCAAACCCGCGAGGGGGAGCUAAUCUCACAAAACGCGUCGUAGUGCGGAUCGCAGUCUGCAACUCGACUGCGUGAAGUCGGAAUCGCUAGUAAUCGCGGAUCAGCACGCCGCGGUGAAUACGUUCCCGGGCCUU
rnacentral:rRNA from 1 species